GGCCCAGUGGUCUAGGGGUAUGAUUCGCGCUUCGGGUGCGCGAGGUCCCGGGUUCAAUUCCCGGCUGGGCCC
rnacentral:tRNA from 1 species